rnacentral:rRNA from 1 species
GUGGGGAAUCUUCCGCAAUGGACGAAAGUCUGACGGAGCAACGCAGCGUGAAGGAAGAAGGUCUUCGGAUCGUAAACUUCUAUCCUUGGUGAAGAUAAUGACGGUAGCCGAGAAGGAAGCCCCGGCUAACUACGUGCCAGCAGCCGCGGCAAUACGUAGGGGGCAAGCGUUGUCCGGAAUGAUUGGGCGUAAAGGGCGCGUAGGCGGCCUGGUAAGUCUGGAGUGAAAGUCCUGCUUUUAAGGUGGGAAUUGCUUUGGAUACUGUCGGGCUUGAGUGCAGGAGAGGUAAGUGGAAUUCCCGUUGUAGCGGUGAAAUGCGUAGAGAUCGGGAGGAACACCAGUGGCGAAGGCGGCUUACUGGACUGUAACUGACGCUGAGGCGCGAAAGUGUGGGGAGCAAACAGGAUUAGAAACCCCAGUAGUCC